UACGUAGGGACCAAGCGUUGUUCGGAUUUACUGGGCGUAAAGGGCGCGUAGGCGGCUUGACAAGUCACUUGUGAAAUCUCCGGGCUUAACCCGGAGCGGUCAAGUGAUACUGUCGUGCUAGAGUGCGGAAGGGGCUACUGGAAUUCUCGGUGUAGCGGUGAAAUGCGUAGAUAUCGAGAGGAACACCUGCGGCGAAGGCGGGUAGCUGGGCCGACACUGACGCUGAUGCGCGAAAGCCAGGGGAGCGAACGGG
rnacentral:rRNA from 1 species